AUAGGGGGCGAGCGUUAUCCGGAAUUAUUGGGCGUAAAGCGUGCGUAGGCGGCCGUUUAAGUCUGUCGUGAAAGCCCACAGCUUAACUGUGGAGGGUCGAUGGAAACUGGAUGGCUUGAAUCUAGAAGAGGUAAGUGGAAUUCCAUGUGUAGCGGUAAAAUGCUUAGAUAUAUGGAGGAACACCAGUGGCGAAGGCGGCUUACUGGUCUAGCAUUGACGCUGAGGCACGAAAGCGUAGGUAGCAAACAGGAUUAGAUACCCUGGUAGUCUACGCUGUAAACGAUGAAUACUAGGUGUGGGAGGACUGACCCCUUCCGUGCCGCAGUUAACACAAUAAGUAUUCCACCUGGGGAGU
rnacentral:rRNA from 1 species